UAAGUAUCAAGUAUCACUGUCUUGGUAUUGACCAAUCAGGUGGUCGUAUUCACCGUUCAGAAUCUGAACGGCGUGUAGUCAUGAAAGGUGGGCUUUCCUGCAGGCCCUCUUUCCUCCCCCGGAGCCCGCCAAAAUCCUGCCCGCUGCAAAUCAGGCCCCCCCCCAUAAAAUUGAGGGCCUGCCACGCAGGCUAACGUUUGACCGACCGUCGUUCACCGACAGACAUUUAGCCGACAGGACAUUUGGCCGACAAGACAUUAGGCCGACAGGACAAUUCACCGACAAGAUUUUUUAUUUCAAGUUUAUUUUCUAAAAUAAUGCUCACGGGUAAUGAUGACUUAUAGAUGACUCAACAGACUAGUACAAAUUAAUCAGACUAUUAGUUAAAUUAAUGACACGUACGGGUAUUGUUUUACGGUUUAGCGUGAUUUACCGCGUACGAAUAACUCCAUAGAAGGUUGGCAUCAUGCCUUCGAUCAACGCGUUGGCGUCACCCAUAAGUGAUUUGGACUUAAACGCCGACAGCGUUUUAAACUAUACACGUGCUAUUGCACAUAACUUGUAAAUACAGGGUGUCCCAAAAAAAUGCCCCCUAUCAUAUUUUGUGGUACUACAUCGUUAC